rnacentral:rRNA from 1 species
UACGUAGGGUGCAAGCGUUGUCCGGAAUUAUUGGGCGUAAAGAGCUCGUAGGCGGUUUGUCACGUCGGAUGUGAAACCCUGAGGCUCAACCUCAGGCCUGCAUUCGAUACGGGCAGACUAGAAUUCGGCAGGGGAGACUGGAAUUCCUGGUGUAGCGGUGAAAUGCGCAGAUAUCAGGAGGAACACCGGUGGCGAAGGCGGGUCUCUGGGCCGAUAUUGACGCUGAGGAGCGAAAGCGUGGGGAGCAAACAGG